AUACCUCAGUAACGGCGAGUGAAGCGGUAACAGCUCAAAUUUGAAAUCUGGCUCUUUUAGGGUCCGAGUUGUAAUUUGUAGAAGAUGCUUUGGGUGUGGCCCUGGUCUAAGUUCCUUGGAACAGGACGUCAUAGAGGGUGAGAAUCCCGUAUGUGACUAGGUGCUUUCGCCCGUGUAAAGCUCUUUCGACGAGUCGAGUUGUUUGGGAAUGCAGCUCAAAACGGGUGGUAAAUUUCAUCUAAAGCUAAAUAUUGGCCAGAGACCGAUAGCGCACAAGUAGAGUGAUCGAAAGAUGAAAAGCACUUUGGAAAGAGAGUUAAACAGUACGUGAAAUUGUUGAAAGGGAAGCGCUUGCAACCAGACUUAGUUGCUGUCGAUCAUCUAGGGUUCUCCCUGGUGCACUCGAUAGUAUCUAGGCCAGCAUCGGUUUGGGUGGUGGGAUAAAGGCCUUGGGAAUGUAGCUUCUUUCGGGGAGUGUUAUAGCCCUCGGUGCAAUGCCGCCUACCUGGACCGAGGACCGCGCUUCGGCUAGGAUGCUGGCGUAAUGGUUGUAAGCGACCCGUCUUGAAACACGGACCAAGGAGUCUAACAUCUAUGCGAGUAUUUGGGUG
rnacentral:rRNA from 1 species